rnacentral:rRNA from 1 species
AGGGAGUGCUACCGGGCGACCGGAUGCGGAUCUCGAAAGCCUGUCCCAGUUCGGACUGGAGUCUGCAACCCGACUCCACGAAGUUGGAUUCGCUAGUAAUCGCGCAUCAGCCAUGGCGCGGUGAAUACGUUCCCGGGCCUUGUACACACCGCCCGUCAAGCCAUGGGAGCCGGGGGCGCCUGAAGUCCGGGACCGCGAGGACCGGCCUAGGGCGAAACUGGUAACUGGGGCUAAGUCGUAACAAGGUACC